rnacentral:rRNA from 1 species
CAGCCGCGGUACUACCGGCGGCCCGAGUGGCGGUCACUAUUAUUUGGCUUAAAGCGUCCGUAGCCGGGUUGGGAAGUCCUCCGGGGAAUCUGGCCGCUUAACGGUCAGAAUGCCGGAGGAUACUCCCAGCCUAGGGAGCGGGAGAGGCCGAGGGUAUUCCCGGAGUAGGGGUGAAAUCCUAUAAUCCCGGGAGGACCACCUGUGGCGAAGGCGCUCGGCUGGAACGCGUCCGACGGUGAGGGACGAAGGCCAGGGGAGCAAACCGGAUUAGAUACCCGGGUAGUCCUGGCUGUAAACGAUGCGGACUUUGUGUCGGACAAGCUAUGAGCUUGUCCGGUGCCGGAGGGAAACCGUUAAGUCCGCCGCCUGGGGAGUACGGCCGCAAGGCUGAAACUUAAAGGAAUUGGCGGG